rnacentral:lncRNA from 1 species
GUCGUACAAGUCCAAAAAGGGAAAUAGAAAAUGGAGCAUGCUGUAGAAUAGACCUUGAAUGGACUGGAAAGUCUCUUGUGAGGAGGGUGGCCUUAUUUAAGGACACAGGGAUUUUAUUUAAGGGUUUUUAAAGUGGAGUAGGAGAAGAAAGCAGAGAAUGUAAUCAAGGUUGUGUAAUGUUUGACUUUGAAACCAAAUAAGAUUCAUAAGAAUUUUCAAAAAUAGUACAAAGGGUGUUAUGUGUCUUCACCCUGUUUCUCCCAGUCAGAGAACCUUACACAAUCAUAAUAUAGUGUUGAAAAUACACUUAUGUUGCUGAGUGUCAUUGGCUAAGAUGUAGAUAUAUUUCGAUUUUAUAAUUUAUUUUAGCUUAAAAGUUCAAAACAAUGCAUAGAAAGGACUGAAGCCAUGGCUGGAACUAUAAAUUCACAAUCUUAGUUGGAGAUUAAGGAGCAAAGCCCAGUUGGUAGAUGAGCGAUUGUUUGCCAAGAUAGUUAGAAGGGCUAAAAUGAUGUCUCAGUUGGUAAAGUGUUUGCCAUGCAAGCACAAAGACCCAAGCUUGGAUUCCCAGCACUCACAAAGAAAGAUGAACAUGAUGGUGUGUGCCUGUAAUUCUAGGUCUAGGGAAGUGGAGACAGGAGGAGCUCACUGGUUAUCCACUCUUGCUGAAUUGUUUAGUUCCAGGUUCAACAAGAGACUCUAUCCAAAAUUAUAAAGUGGAGAGUGACAGAGAAGGACAGCCGAUCAGGCAUGCACAUGUUUGUAUGUUUGUGUUAUCUAUCUAUGUAUCUAUGUAUCUAUGUAUCUAUCUAUCUAUGUAUCUAUCUAUCAUCUAUCUAUCUAUCUAUCUAUCUAUCUCUGUCUUUCACAGACACACAUGUGUAUACACACAUACAUCAUACACAAAUAAAAUCUAGAUUACUAGAAAUAUUUAGAGGUAGAAAUGCUCUAUAUGUCUAAGUGACUACAUACUUGUGAGGCAGAAGAGAUAAAGUCCAAGGGGAGCUAUCAGUCAGUGUUUAUGCUUCUAACUGAGAACUAGAAGAGAAGCAGAUUUAUGGAAAACCAAGACACUUUCACCGUGAUCACAGUGACCCGCAGACACCUGUGUAGGGGAUGUUCUUACUACCUGAAGCUCAAGAAAGAUGGCGGCUGGAGUUGGGAGGGUUAAAGGUUUAGGCAUCCUACAUGUAUGGGAUAAUAAACAACCUGGUUAACACUGUCACUUUCCUGUGAUUCUACUUAAAGUUAUGAUUCAAAGAUUUCCUGUGGGUUUUUUUGGUGUGUUUUGUUAUGCUUUUGUUUUUAAAGCUUAGCAUUUAUAUUAGUGUAAACUGAAUUCAUGAUAAAGUGUGAUGUUUUCUUUAACAUUCCCUCCAAAAUGUUGCUUUGCUUUGGGAAUACUUAAAUAAUGUACUGUUUAGGUUUUUCCCUCAAGUUAGCACAAGAUACAAUAAUCUGGGAAGGAGGAAACUCAACCGAGAAACUGCCUCCAUCAGAUUGGCCUAUAAACAAGCCUGUGGGUGCAUUUUCUUGCUGGAUGAUUGAUGUGGAAAGACCCAGCCCUCUAUGGCUGUGGCUCCCCUGGAAAGGUGGCCUUGGUUUAUAUAAGAAAGCAAUCUCAGUGAAGCAAUCUGAGGGGCAAGUGUAAGCACCAGUGCUCCCCCUUCCGUGUGUCAGGACGGAUGUCAGUUGUCCAGAAGAUUUCUGAGUUCACUUCUCAGAAUG